rnacentral:lncRNA from 1 species
AGCUGGGUUGUGGGACUGUCCUCUCUCUCCGAAAAAACAACACUGACUGCUCCAACAAAGUGCAGGUCACAGGAAAACACAAACAAAUAUAAUUAAUUUUAGGCAGUUUUAUCAAUCAUAAUUUUGAAUGUGUUUGACAGAUUUGCCGGAUUUGUCAGUGUCCACUUCUCCUGCCACAGCAACAUCAGCUUCUCCUCCAGUUUCUCCUCCAGUGCGCUCAACAUCAGUCUCUCCUCCACAAACUCUCUCCGUCCCCCCAGUGCUUGUGAUUGUUCUGGGAGUUGUGCUCUUACUGCUCUUAGUGCCACUGCUUAUACUGAUUCAGCAGAACAGAGUGAUGAGGAGAGCUCUCUCUAAGAGGAGACACAGGAUGAAGACUGAGGCCGUUUAUGAGGAGAUUCAGCACAGAUCCACUAACAGACAGUCUCUUCACUCAGAGGGGUGAGUCUGUCGAAGUAAUCACCUUUAUAAUUAAUAUGAAAACAUUUUAUACUGUUGUUGUAAAUAGCCAAAAUUAUGAAUUUAUAGCUGAAGGUAUUUGUCUUUAUCUGUUUUUUUUUUUUUAUUACUGUGCUGACAAGUCUAAUGAUUCUACAUGUCUUUUUUGACUGUUAGAGUUAAAGAUAUGUUAAUCCUGUUAGGCUUCCUGCUUUUAACCACAGAAUUCAACAGUGAAAACCACAUCGCUGUGUUUGUGCAAGCUGCAGUCAGGGUCAUAGGAGAGCACACAGGUGUUUGUCUGUGGGGGAGGUUUCAACAAGAUAUCCUACUCAGCAUUUCUGAACUGUCUUAGUAAAGUAAAAGUUCACCCAAAAUAAAAAUACACACUAUCAGGCUAUCCAAGAUGUAAAUGCAUUUGUUUCUUCAUUGGAAAUGAUUUGAUGAACUUAGCGUUACUUCACUUCCCCGCCAUUGGAUCCUUUGCAGUGAAUGGGUGCCUUCAGAAUGAGAGUCUAUCCCUUGUUGUCCUCUCACAUCAAAAUCCACCACUAUGUUUGUUUAGAAGUCAAUAAUUUAUUGGUUUUCAUUUAUGGACAAAAUGGACCAGCAGGCUCCAGAAGAAUGUCAACACCGAUAGACUGAAUUGUGAGAAUUUUCCAUACUAAAACAAUCAUUAUAAAAUAAAUAUGAAAUAGGACAGAAAAUAUAACUUAGUCCUAGUUUAGCGAGAGUGAUGUUGUAUUUUUGGACAUAUUGUAUGAUUGAGA